CCAGGAGGCAGUAAAAGAACUGUGAACACAAGACAUCCAUCAGACCUGACAUAAAGAAGGCAGACUCUAAAAAUUAGAGAAGAGGCAAUGGAGCUCUUGAUUAGAUGGUGAGGCAGGGAAAGGGUUUGGGAUCAUUCCUUCAUCCCUGAGGUUGAAAGAUAUGUGAGUGAGAGAUUUGGCAGCUUUAAAAGAGACCUGAAGCAGAAGGAGUAGGUUGUGACUCCCUUGAAGACAAGGCGACAAAAAAAGUGAAGUCGUGGUGAGAUCCUGAUAAAGGGCCAGAAGAAAUGUGAUGGCGAGUACCACAUGGCCAAGCGCUGAUGAGUCCUUUUGCUACGUGUUCCUAAAUGAAUGAGACGUGAGCGAUGGAUGGAGACACUAAAGCGGACUAUGGGACUGAGUUGUAUGCAGAUUUGAAAAAAAUAUCAAAGGAAAAAGAAUGUCACUUAUUCUGGUAGCUUGCGAUCUAGAA
rnacentral:lncRNA from 1 species